GACGAACGCUGGCGGCGUGCCUAAUACAUGCAAGUCGAACGGUCUUUUCUAUGGAAGCUUGCUUCCGCUGAGAAGGUAGUGGCGAACGGGUGAGUAACACGUGGGUAACCUGCCCAUAAGAGGGGGAUAACAUCCGGAAACGGGUGCUAAUACCGCAUAGUUUUCUUGAUCGCAUGAUCGAGAAAGGAAAGACGGCCUUUGUGUUGUUGCCUAUGGAUGGACCCGCGGCGUAUUAGUUAGUUGGGGAGGUAACGGCUCACCAAGACGAUGAUACGUAGCCGACCUGAGAGGGUGAUCGGCCACAUUGGGACUGAGACACGGCCCAAACUCCUACGGGAGGCAGCAGUAGGGAAUCUUCCGCAAUGGACGAAAGUCUGACGGAGCAACGCCGCGUGAGUGAAGAAGGUUUUCGGAUCGUAAAACUCUGUUGUCAGAGAAGAACAAGUCGGAGAGUAACUGCUCCGGCCUUGACGGUAUCUGACCAGAAAGCCACGGCUAACUACGUGCCAGCAGCCGCGGUAACAC
rnacentral:rRNA from 1 species